rnacentral:rRNA from 1 species
CCUACGGGAGGCAGCAGUGGGGAAUAUUGCACAAUGGGGGAAACCCUGAUGCAGCGACGCCGCGUGGGUGAAGAAGUCUUUCGGUAUGUAAAGCUCUGUCAGCAGGGAAGAAAAUGACGGUACCUGAUUAAGAAGCCCCGGCUAACUACGUGCCAGCAGCCGCGGUAAUACGUAGGGGGCAAGCUUUAUCCGGAUUUACUGGGUGUAAAGGGGGCGUAGACGGCAGGACAAGUCAGGAGUGAAAUGCCGGGGCUUAACCCCGGAACUGCUUUGGAAACUGUGCAGCUAGAGUGCAGGAGAGGUAAGUGGAAUUCCUAGUGUAGCGGUGAAAUGCGUAGAUAUUAGGAGGAACACCAGUGGCGAAGGCGGCUUACUGGACUGCAACUGACGUUGAGGCUCGAAAGCGUGGGGAGCAAACAGGAUUAGAUACCCGUGUAGUC